GGCUGCCGCCAGCGCUGGCUUCGGUCGUGUUGGCGUCGGCCAUCCGUCUGCGAGCCACAUUCGGCCUUCACUGGUCGGUGUGGGGAGCAGGCUCUUUACUUUGAAAAAAUUAGAGUGUUUAAGGCAGGCAAUUGCCCGAAUACAUUAGCAUGGAAUAAUGGAACAGGACUGCGGUCUAUUUUGUUGGUUAUUAGGUUGCAGUA
rnacentral:rRNA from 1 species